rnacentral:rRNA from 1 species
AUUGAACGCUGGCGGCAGGCCUAACACAUGCAAGUCGAACGGUAACAGGAAGCAGCUUGCUGCUUCGCUGACGAGUGGCGGACGGGUGGGUAAUGUCUGGGAAACUGCCUGAUGGAGGGGGAUAACUACUGGAAACGGUAGCUAAUACCGCAUAACGUCGCAAGACCAAAGAGGGGGACCUUAGGGCCUCUUGCCAUCGGAUGUGCCCAGAUGGGAUUAGCUAGUAGGCGGGGUAACGGCUCACCUAGGCGACGAUCCCUAGCUGGUCUGAGAGGAUGACCAGCCACACUGGAACUGAGACACGGUCCAGACUCCUACGGGAGGCAGCAGUGGGGAAUAUUGCACAAUGGGCGCAAGCCUGAUGCAGCCAUGCCGCGUGUAUGAAGAGGGCCUUCGGGUUGUAAAGUACUUUCAGCGGGGAGGAAGGGAGUAAAGUUAAUACCUUUGCUCAUUGACGUUACCCGCAGAAGAAGCACCGGCUAACUCCGUG